rnacentral:rRNA from 1 species
GGGGAAUAUUGCGCAAUGGAGGGAACUCUGACGCAGCAACGCCGCGUGAAGGAAGAAGGCUUUCGGGUUGUAAACUUCUUUGAUCGGGGACGAAGAUGACGGUACCCGAGGAACAAGCCACGGCUAACUACGUGCCAGCAGCCGCGGUAAUACGUAGGUGGCGAGCGUUGUCCGGAAUUACUGGGUGUAAAGGGCGUGUAGGCGGGGAGGCAAGUCAGAUGUGAAAUCCCGAGGCUCAACUUCGGAGCUGCAUCUGAAACUGUUUUUCUUGAGUACUGGAGAGGAAAGUGGAAUUCCUAGUGUAGCGGUGAAAUGCGUAGAGAUUAGGAGGAACACCAGUGGCGAAGGCGGCUUUCUGGACAGUAACUGACGCUGAGGCGCGAAAGCGUGGGGAGCAAAC